UGGAGCGGCACAGACGCUCUCAAAGUAAGCAGCGUCUGGCUGGAAACCUGGGUACGAUUUCAGGUGCCGUUAAUUGAGUCUGGCUGCUGGAAACCUUUUGUUAAGGCAGUUGGUGUUGAGAAGCGGUAGGGUGGUGAGCUGCGUGGGUGUCUUUUAAAGCGGUAUGAAGGCAGCGAUCGUUCAUUUGCGAGUUGGGGCUGGUGGUUAAUGUUGUCAAGGGAGAGUCAGUCCUCUGCGCCUCCGAUUCGACCUGGUCUUCUCAGUAGCGAGUAACUCCAGUGGGCUGCUUCCUCACGACAGAGUUUCUAAAAUAAGAAGAAAAGCAAAAAGACCAAUUCCCGGGGCAGUGCAUAAAGCCCUCUGCAAAAGGACUGAACGUUUCACACCUGCUUAGCACUGAAAGCUGUGAAAGUGAUGCACGCUGGUGAAAGCACCUAACUUCUUCUUGCUUUAAUAUGUAAAUCAAGGGACGUGCCAAAGCAGCCUGUCAAAAUAUUUCUCGAAGCUGAUUGUUGUUGCUGAAGGUCUUUUAUAAACAAGAAAGCAAAACCCCAUCAAAAACUGUCACAUGUAAUAAGGAUUUCCUGAAUGCUGAUUAAUAAAUUAUUAACUCUUGACCUAGUGUGAGGCACUAAGAUUGAGCACAGCAUUUAGUAGGUUUUACCUUUUGUUCUACUUGGAAAAAUAAAAGCAUCGUACACACUCCAGCCUGUGGAGGUCACAAGUGUUUGAGACUGGGUGAACCCCUGCCAGACUGUGGUGUCUGGGAUGGUGAUCACAGUGCUCAGGCUGAAUGGUCAAAAACGGACUUGGGUGCACGCAGAGUUCUCAGCUU